rnacentral:rRNA from 1 species
UACAUGGGGUGCAAACGUUGCUCGGAAUUAUUGGGCGUAAAGCGCGCGUAGGCGGUUACUUAAGUCGGAUGUGAAAGCCCUCGGCUUAACUGAGGAAGUGCACCCGAAACUGAGUAGCUAGAGUACGAAAGAGGGUCGCGGAAUUCCCGGUGUAGAGGUGAAAUGCGUAGAGAUGUGGAGGAACACCAGUGGCGAAGGCGACUCUUUGGCCUGUAACUGACGCUGAGGCGCGAAAGCGUGGGGAGCAAACAGG